AUUGAACGCUAGCGGCAUGCCUUACACAUGCAAGUCGAACGAGUGGCGGACGGGUGAGUAAUUUCUGGGAACGUGCCUAGUGGCGGGGGAUAACUACUGGAAACGGUAGCUAAUACCGCAUACUCUCCGAUCGGCCGAGAUGGGAUUAGCUAGUUGGUGGGGUAACGGCUCACCAAGGCGACGAUCCGUAGCUGGUCUGAGAGGAUGACCAGCCACACUGGAACUGAGACACGGUCCAGACUCCUACGGGAGGCAGCAGUGGGGAAUAUUGGACAAUGGGCGAAAGCCUGAUGCAGCCAUGCCGCGUGUAUGAAGAAGGCCUUCGGGUUGUAAAGUACUUUUGGCGGAGAGGCGUUAUCUGCAGAAGAAGCACCGGCUAACUACGUGCCAGCAGCCGCGGUAAUAC
rnacentral:rRNA from 1 species